rnacentral:rRNA from 1 species
UGGGGAAUCUUGCGCAAUGGGCGAAAGCCUGACGCAGCCACGCCGCGUGAGUGAAGAAGGCCUUCGGGUUGUAAAGCUCUGUCACCUGGGACGAAAAUCCAGUCGGUUAAUAGCCGAUUGGCCUGACGGUACCAGGGGAGGAAGCACCGGCUAACUUCGUGCCAGCAGCCGCGGUAAUACGAAGGGUGCAAGCGUUGCUCGGAAUUAUUGGGCGUAAAGGGCAGGUAGGUGGUCUUAUUUGUCUGAGGUGAAAUCCCUGAGCUUAACUCAGGACGUGCCUUAGAAACGGUAGGACUAGAGUCUUAGAGAGGGUCGUAGAAUUCCCAGUGUAGCGGUGAAAUGCGUAGAGAUUGGGAGGAAUACCAGAGGCGAAAGCGGCGACCUGGAUAAGCACUGACAC